rnacentral:misc_RNA from 1 species
GAUGAAGAACGUAGCGAAAUGCGAUAAGUAGUGUGAAUUGCAGAAUUCAGUGAAUCAUCGAAUCUUUGAACGCACAUUGCGCCCCUUGGUAUUCCAUGGGGCAUGCCUGUUCGAGCGUCAUUUGUACCUUCAAGCUCUGCUUGGUGUUGGGUGUUUGUCUCGCCUCUGCGUGUAGACUCGCCUCAAAACAAUUGGCAGCCGGCGUAUUGAUUUCGGAGCGCAGUACAUCUCGCGCUUUGCACUCAUAACGACGACGUCCAAAAGUACAUUUUUACACUCUUGACCUCGGAUCAGGUAGUGAUACCCGCUGAACUUAAGCAUAUCAAUAAGCGGAGGA